rnacentral:rRNA from 1 species
GACGAACCGUGCGAACGUUGUUCGGAAUCACUGGGCUUAAAGGGCGCGUAGGCGGGCUGUCAAGUCUGGGGUGAAAUGCCGCGGCUCAACCGUGGAACUGCCUCAGAUACUGACGGCCUCGAGGAAGGUAGGGGCAUGCGGAACUGUAGGUGGAGCGGUGAAAUGCGUUGAUAUCUACAGGAACUCCGGUGGCGAAAGCGGCGUGCUGGACCUUUUCUGACGCUGAGGCGCGAAAGCUAGGGGAGCGAACGGG